rnacentral:rRNA from 1 species
AGUGAACGCUGGCGGUAGGCCUAACACAUGCAAGUCGAACGGCAGCACAGUAAGAGCUUGCUCUUACGGGUGGCGAGUGGCGGACGGGUGAGGAAUACAUCGGAAUCUACUUUUUCGUGGGGGAUAACGUAGGGAAACUUACGCUAAUACCGCAUACGACCUACGGGUAAAAGCAGGGGAUCUUCGGACCUUGCGCGAUUGAAUGAGCCGAUGUCGGAUUAGCUAGUUGGCGGGGUAAAGGCCCACCAAGGCGACGAUCCGUAGCUGGUCUGAGAGGAUGAUCAGCCACACUGGAACUGAGACACGGUCCAGACUCCUACGGGAGGCAGCAGUGGGGAAUAUUGGACAAAGGGCGCAAGCCUGAUCCAGCCAUACCGCGUGGGUGAAGAAGGCCUUCGGGUUGUAAAGCCCUUUUGUUGGGAAAGAAAAGCAGCAGGUUAAUACCCCGCUGUUCUGACGGUACCCAAAGAAUAAGCACCGGCUAACUUCGUG